rnacentral:lncRNA from 1 species
UUUUGGUGUCCAUCUUGGAAUGGUCCAUUGAAUGGAUUACUUGCCCCUCAAAAGCUUCAGGUCCAUUGUUUGGACGAAAUUCAGGCAUGUUUGGGAGCUGGCUGAACCUUCCCAAGCAAACUACUACAAAAUCAACUUGGUAUACCUGCAUGCAACAAAAAAAUUUCAAUAUUUCUUUCUAUACAUCUCGUUUUCACAAGUAAAAAGUAAAAGUGUUUAGGUCGAAAUUUUCUUAAUUUGGUAAUUAAGCGUUGUACUUGCCUGUGUAGAAGUGUGCUGUACGGUGACGUUCCACUUGCCUUUACACAAAUUCCAUUCUCCAGAGCUGCUGUCAUCUUCAUAGCUUAGGCUCAACACUUUGCUAUUGAACUUAAUGUGUCGGACCAAAUCAAAGUGAGUUGCGUACGAUUCAAU